rnacentral:rRNA from 1 species
UGCAAGUCGAGGGGUAACAGGGAGCGCUUGCACUCUGCUGACGACCGGCGCACGGGUGCGUAACGCGUAUGCAAUCUACCUCUUACUGAGGGAUAGCCCAUGGAAACGUGGAUUAAUACCUCAUAGUAUUAUAGACUGGCCUCAGUUUAUGAUUAAAGGUUACGGUAAGAGAUGAGCAUGCGUCCUAUUAGCUAGAUGGUAAGGUAACGGCUUACCAUGGCUACGAUAGGUAGGGGUCCUGAGAGGGAGAUCCCCCACACUGGUACUGAAACACGGACCAGACUCCUACGGGAGGCAGCAGUGAGGAAUAUUGGACAAUGGGCGAGAGCCUGAUCCAGCCAUGCCGCGUGCAGGAAGACGGCCCUAUGGGUUGUAAACUGCUUUUACAGAGGAAGAACCCUCCUUACGUGUAAGGAGCUGACGGUACUCUAUGAAUAAGGAUCGGCUAACUCCGUGCCAGCAGCCGCGGUAAUACGGAGGUUCCAAGCGUUAUCCGGAAUCAUUGGGUUUAAAGGGUCCGUANGCGGGUCUAUAAGUCAGUGGUGAAAGUCUGCAGCUUAACUGUAGAACUGCCAUUGAUACUGUAGA